rnacentral:rRNA from 1 species
CAAGGCUUGACAUAUACCGAAAAGCGGCAGAGAUGUCGUGUCCGCAAGGGCGCUAUACAGGUGGUGCAUGGUUGUCGUCAGCUCGUGUCGUGAGAUGUUGGGUUAAGUCCCGCAACGAGCGCAACCCUCGUUCUGUGUUGCCAGCAUUUAGUUGGGGACUCACAGGAGACUGCCGUGGUUAACACGGAGGAAGGUGGGGAUGACGUCAAAUCAUCAUGCCCCUUAUGUCUUGGGCUGCACGCAUGCUACAAUGGCCGAUACAAAGGGCUGCAAUACCGUAAGGUGGAGCGAAUCCCAUAAAGUCGGUCUCAGUUCGGAUUGAGGUCUGCAACUCGACCUCAUGAAGUCGGAGUUGCUAGUAAUCGUAGAUCAGCAACGCUACGGUGAAUACGUUCCC